CCACCAGGCUUCGACGGGUAGCCGGCCUGANNGGUGACCGGCCCACUGGGACUGAGACACGGCCCAGACUCCUACGGGAGGCAGCAGUGGGGAAUAUUGGACAAUGGGCGAAAGCCUGAUCCAGCAACGCCGCGUGAGGGAUGACGGCCUUCGGGUUGUAAACCUCUUUCAUCCAUGACGAAGGCAAGUGACGGUAGUGGAAGAAGAAGCACCGGCCAACUACGUGCCAGCAGCCGCGGUAAUACGUAGGGUGCGAGCGUUGUCCGGAAUUAUUGGGCGUAAAGGGCUCGUAGGCGGUCUGUUGCGUCGGGAGUGAAAACUCAGGGCUUAACCCUGAGCCUGCUUCCGAUACGGGCAGACUAGAGGUAUGCAGGGGAGAACGGAAUUCCUGGUGUAGCGGUGAAAUGCGCAGAUAUCAGGAGGAACACCGGUGGCGAAGGCGGUUCUCUGGGCAUUACCUGACGCUGAGGAGCGAAAGUGUGGGGAGCGAACAGGAUUAGAUACCCUGGUAGUCCACACCGUAAACGUUGGGCGCUAGGUGUGGGACUCAUU
rnacentral:rRNA from 1 species